UAGGCAGUGAGAUUUGAUAUUUUGCUGUCUUUUAGGCGAAGCCUGGUAGUCCAGGCAGAAAGAUGUGUAUGUGCCGACUGGUGCGCAGCUCUGCAUGCUGACGGAGGUGCGGAGCAGCAUGGGUGACACAUGGGACACGUUCCCUCACCCUGCACAAUUACCCAGGUUAGACUUUUCCCUCUUUCUCUUGGGACCCAGCUUCUCAGUAAUUAUCCAGAGGAAGAAGUGCCAUCUGUGGGAAGUAACAGAAGCGUUCAGUGGUACUGAUAGAGAAGCAUCGCUUGAAAAGAGAACUCGGGGAACAAGAGCAAGGCUUGAGUGUGCCAGUGCAAUGUGAAUGCACGCGUCAAAGAUGUGCCAUCGUGUUCUUGCAUGCAUUUAAAAGUUGGAUUGAGCAAUAUUGUCUCACUUAAGAGUUUGCUCCUCUGCUUUCCUGUUGCUGGAGGUGGACUCAUACACCGGGAAUUGUUUCUUGCAGAAGCAGGAAGGCGAUUGCAGGGGGGCAAGGGAGGAGGCACCUCCUGGGGGAGCUCUGCCAGGUGGAGAACUUGCUGCUGUUAAGGUGUGGAGAAAAAGAGGGUCUUCCCACCUAACAGAAAAAGCCAUUUUAAACCAAACUCUGUUUUUGUAAUGAAGAUGAUCAGAGCACUGUGGACAGGUGGAAGCCAUGCCAAACAAAUGGGUUGUUUUUUGCCAGGUCCUCCAGCCGAACUGACUCACCCUAUGGCAGUUGCAGGUGCGGUACUGCCUUUCUGUCACAUGGUGGAAAAAAGCAGAGAAGCUUGUGGUGAGACAAGUUUGAGUGAUCCAGUCCCAGACUUGUUUGUUGCUUUCUGCCUGAGAGAGGUGCUGGGGGUGUUGCAGCCUCACCGAGGGACAGCAGCCGUCUCCUUUAGCGCUUCUGCACACAGCUUCUUAGAAGCAACACCAGCUCCUGCCUUCCUCUUAAGAAGGAUGCUUGGUCUGUCAGCUGAAGGGAGAUGCUGAAACUGUGCACACCAGCACAAGUCCCUCGCAUUUCUCUGUGCCCUACCUGAAGCUCUGCCAAGCACAAACCUCAAAGCCGUGUCAGCAGCAUCCCCAGUGGGACCUGGUACGAGAGGAGAUGAGGGGGAACGAGCUGGAAAGAAGCCACCAGAAGAGGAUAGUGCAGGAGAUGCAGUCCGCCGUGGUGGAUAGAUUACUGUGCUGAAAGGGUGCAAGGCAAACCGGGAUCAACCCUGCAGUCUUGAAAUUCAGAUUCAGCUCCAGGGAGCAGCAGGAAACUUCUCAAGGUGUGCCAGGGACAUGCUCUUCCCAGUCCGCACAUUCAUGACUUGCUAGUUCUCCCCUCACUGUUAUCCAGUAUGAUUCCAAAGAAACAAAAUCCACCUUUCCUCCCACUCAAUGCAGGCCAAAGAAAGGACUGAGAAUUACGAAUCCUGCCUCUUGCCUCUCCUUCUCCACUGCCAGCCAACAUCCGUACCAUAAUUCCCGUAAACCUUCUAAACUCAGGAAGCUCUGGCUGGGACAGGUGGUUUCAGAGGAGGCUUUCUUAACAUAUUACAUUCUGAUUGUCUUGCUUGGCAGCUUGCUGAGGACUAAAAAUGACUCUUGAUAGCUGAGAGGACAGUGGCCAUGAGGUGAUGGUUUGGGGUGUCUAAAAUUUUUCUAUCUUUGUGUUUUCUUUUUAAGAGGUGAGAACUGCAAUUAUCAGGGGAAGAAGAGCAAUGAAAUAGAUCUGAACAGCAUAUAACAUUUCCAAAGUGUUGUUGUAUAUGCUUUUAGCAAAGGCAUAUAUUUAUUGUUACCAAACUUUUACUUAAAAAGCAAUAAAGGUUUUUGAUGAAGAAUGAUUUGGACUUUGGGGAUUUCUGACAUAUAUAAGAAAAUUAUGAAAAGCUGCAGUUCCUCCUGGAAAACACCAUUUUGGUGAAAAAAAGAAACAACAUAUUUUGUUGAAAAGGGACUUUCAAAUGUUUUCCACAUUAGUAUUUGAAACUCUUUCUCUGUUAAAGUUUUCGUUUUGUUUUGUUUUGUUUUCUGUAU